UCGGGAAUUUUGGGCAAUGGGCGAAAGCCUGACCCAGCAACGCCGCGUGAAGGAUGAAGUAUUUCGGUAUGUAAACUUCGUAAGAAUAGGAAGAAUAAAUGACGGUACUAUUUGUAAGGUCCGGCUAACUACGUGCCAGCAGCCGCGGUAAUACGUAGGGACCAAGCGUUGUUCGGAUUUACUGGGCGUAAAGGGCGCGUAGGCGGCGUGGUAAGUCAUCUGUGAAAUCUCCGAGCUUAACUCGGAACGGUCAGAUGAUACUGCUGUGCUAGAGUACAGAAAGGGCAAUCGGAAUUCUUGGUGUAGCGGUGAAAUGCGUAGAUAUCAAGAGGAACACCUGAGGCGAAGGCGGGUUGCUAGGCUGAUACUGACGCUGAGGCGCGAAAGCUAGGGUAGCAAACGGGAUUAGAUACCC
rnacentral:rRNA from 1 species